UUCUUAAAACAACUACUUCUUCCUUCAAUUAAUUCUCCUUCAUCUUCUACUUCAAUAUUUAUUUCUUCUUCACCUAACAGUUUUGUGGUUGCUCCUCCAUUCUCUUAUUUUUCAAUUCGUUAUCUUGGUGGUGAUGGAGGGCAUUGUAAACAGGUAGCAUAUUUGAAAAAUUUGGAAGAUUCUCCAGUAAACUUCUCGUUGUUAUUCUCGGUGAAGAGCAUGGUGGUGGAUACAUGGGAGGAGGCAAUGGUGGUGGUGCUUGCUACAACUGCGAUGGGAUGGGUCACAUGGCCCCGGAGGAGAAGGCAGUUUAUCUUUUCCUCGGCUGCUAACUGUUUGUCUUCCUGUUGCAUUUCGACUUGAUGAUAGUGACAAUAUCGACCGUGACCUUGAUACGGAGCUGGAGCUUCUAACUAUGAUGAAUGCGCUAACUAUGGAUAUGAUGCCGGAAAUAGACCGAUUUUAUAUCACCCUUCAAUUCGAAUUAGCAAAAGGAAUGUCUCCUUGCAUAAUAUGGAUUCCAAACAUUCAUGAUCUGGAUGUGAAUGAGUCGAAUUACUUAUCCCUCAGUCUAUUAGUGAACUAUCUCUCCAGGGAUUGUGAAAGAUGUUCCACUAGAAAUAUUCUUGUUAUUGCUUCGACUCAUAUUCCCCAAAAAGUGGAUCCCGCUCUAAUAGCUCCGAAUAAAUUAAAUACAUGCAUUAAGAUACGAAGGCUUCUUAUUCCACAACAACGAAAGCACUUUUUCACUCUUUCAUAUACUAGGGGAUUUCACUUGGAAAAGAGAAUGUUCCAUACUAAUGGACUCGGGUGCAUAACCAUAACUAUGGGUUCCAAUGUACGAGAUCUUGUAGCACUUACCAAUGAGGCCCUAUCGAUUAGUACAAUGUGAGGAAUCCAACAUGGGCGUGGGUUAUGUAUAGGGUCUUCAUAUGCAACGUUUGCUCCGCUGUUCGUCGCAUCUUCGAAGUGCAUAUUAGCUUCCUCAGGAAAGUUUCUUUGCUGAUUGUUUAAAUUGUUAUGAUUUCAUGAUAAGUUUUUUCGUGGAUGUUGGCAUUAGAAAUCUGGUAAGACAAGUUAAACAGCUUGCUCUUCUUGCUUGACACACUGGUAAGUAAGUAGAAUGCAUUUCAACUGUCUUGAAGAGGAGGGCAUGAGUGUUGGGUUCUUUAAGGUGUUAUAUAUGCAAUGUUUGUUCAUCUGAGCUCUGCCUCUCCCAUUCAGUCAUCAUUCAUUUAUGUCGUUCUUCUGGCACUUGCUACAGCUGUGGUGGGGAUGAGCCAUAUGGCCAGGGAUUGCAACCAAGGAGGACGCAGAUGUGGAGGCAUGCACCGCGACGGUGGUGGAAGUGGAUCCGCUACAACUAUGGGGAUUCUGGGCAUUUUACAAGGGACUUCUAAACAAGUUCUUUGAAAACAAGAUGUGUUUCGAUUGCAAUGUGAAGAAUCCAACAUGAGUGUCCGUUAUGUAUGGCUUCUUCAUAUGCAUUGAUUGCUCCACUGUUCAUCGCAGUCUCAGAGUGCAUAUCAGCUUCUGGAUUUGCAAUUAGCAAAGCAGCAGAUAAAAUUGAAGGCAUUCAUGGUAAGUCGCUAAAUGAAGGUGAGGUGGCAGCAGCUAUUGAAGAGAAAGAAACUCAUGCUUUUGAAAUUAAUCCUUCUCAGUUUUGGUUUAGCACUUGCCUUUUUCAGACUUGUAUGGAGGGAAGAAGUGAUCUUCAGUGCUUUUGAACAAUUUGCUAUACAAGUAAUACAACUGUUACCCCAAAAGAGUACUUCGAGUGAUUUCUCAACUUCAAUCCAUUAAGUAGUCUAUAUAUACAGAUUAAAAUUUGUUGUAUCAUUCGUUUUCAUUGUAAAUCUAAUGAGAGAACAAUAUUAUUUCUAAAGUUUAUAGAAUAUACAAGGACAUUGUUGAUAUAUUAAGUAAUUAUUGACAUGAGUAUUGAUGGUUUAGUUUGAAUCUAAUCACUGAUAAAAUGGAAUACCAUGCCUUUGUGUUUAUUUUUAAUAUGGUCAAUGACAUUUUGUAGUUUUUCUUG